UGCAAAACCGGUAACCAGAUCACCAAGCUAGGAGAUCUCGUUUAAAAACCAAGACAACUGACCAGAAGUAGAGUCGAGAAGAGGGCGCGAGCGAACGAUUAUUCGGCGAGCGUUAAGCGAACCGACUUGGAAUCUAGAUGCUUCCGAUAAGGCCGUAUCUGCGAGAUACGAUCGGCACCUCGAUGCCAGCGGCACGUUGCUGUCGUAGGAUUUGAAGGGAAGCGAAAAAGAAAAGAUGAUGUGGAGCGGCUAGAAAAAGAUCACGAAACGAGGAAGGAAGGAAAAGAAGGGGCGACCGUUUACAUACCGUGGUAUUUCCGGUACCGUGUCUUCCGGCUAUUCGAGAGAACCGGGGAAGCUUCGCCGACUCUUCUCUCUUUUCUAUCCCCUAUGAGCAACAAGCCAUCUCGUCGUUUCACCUCUGAUGCUUCGCUGUUACAAGGCGAAAUUCUCGUUAAAGUUUCGACACAAUCCCCUAACUUGUAAAAAGGAACAACCCGAUGUGGCUUGGUAGUCCUGCUAACGUUUACGUGUAUGUUGACACGCUCGACGAUGCAGGUGGUGGUAGCGGUGGUAACAGCGACACUGAUAGUAGUAGUGGUGGUGGUGUAGCGAUGGUGAUGCCCCGCUGGUAGUGGUUGGAAAUACGAAAAAAUGUAUACGCGUAACGCGACUGCGCCACUGGACCGAAGUGAGACUGGCUCGAAGCGAGUCUACCGACUACUAACUACCAAAGCGACGUGAUACAAACCGUGUGCGUCCUCGUCGCGGUGCUACCGUGUACUACGUGUUGCUGCUGCCAGAGCCACUACCGCUCUACUCGCUCCACGACGACCUCUUCCCUCUUCUGUGUCUGCCUCUCUACCAUCCCUCCGAGUCUACGCAGCAGCAACCUUCGCCUCGCACAAGCAGCGCGGCGCGGGGUUGCCGCUACCAACGUCGCCCCAUCGUAUCGUUCCACUGCGCUGAAGGAUAUUUUCAAACUAUACCUGUAAUGUAUAGAACCUGCCUGCUAUUUUGCAUCGCUGCUCCGCGGGUUUCGCCUCUACAGUCAUGGAAAUGAUAAAUAUUAUAUCGCCCAGAGAUAAUGUUGCUAAUCGUUUGUAACGAUGGGAUUAAGCGGGAAGAGAUGAAGCCCCGCUAGGAUUAAACUCGAGAAUAAUCUAGAGAAUAAAUAUAGAUCAAUGUCCUCCAGAUGAAUAUACGAAAUUAUUAGAGGUUUUAACAAUGUUUGAGGAUCGUUUAAGGGAUUAAUUUCAACGGAGACGUAUACGAAUGAUGAUGAUAAUAAUAUUACGGUUAGGAAUAAAUGUAAAUUUCAAAUACAAUGUUAUAUCGUGGGAGACAAGUAUGAAUCGAUACCCCUGUAGUUGGAAAGAAAAAUACAGAUGAAGUAGAAGCGUUAUAGACGAUAGCACGAAAAGCGUGACAUAAAAUGACAUUUAAAUUAGAAAAUGUAAUUCACGCCAUCGUAUUUUGCAAGUUUGUUC
rnacentral:misc_RNA from 1 species